CAAGGAACUAAGAGUUUAUGGGGGAUACCUUGGCAUUCAGAAGCGAUGAAGGACGUGGUUACCGACGAUACGCUUCGGGGAGCUGGAAACAAGCUAUGAUCCGGAGGUUUCCGAAUGAGGCAACUUUUUAACUACUUAUUGAAUUCAUAGAUAAGAAAGAGCAAACCUAGAGAAUUGAAACAUCUUAGUACCUAGAGGAAAAGAAAGUAAAAACGAUUCCCUGAGUAGCGGCGAGCGAAACGGGAUUAGCCUAAACUUAAUUAUAAAUUAAGGGUAGUGGGACAAUAAUAAAGAAUUUAAUGGAACGAUUAGAGGAAUAAGUUUGGAAUACUUAACCAUAGAGAGUGAAAGUCUCGUACUCGAAAAUUGAACCAAUUCGAUUGUAUCCCAAGUAGCAUGGAGCACGUGAAAUUCCGUGUGAAUCUGCGAGGACCACCUCGUAAGGCUAAAUAUUCCUGAAUGACCGAUAGUGAAACAGUACCGUGAGGGAAAGGUGAAAAGAACCCCGGGAGGGGAGUGAAAAGAACAUGAAACCAUAAACUUACAAGCAGUAGGAGGACGACUAAACGUCUGACUGCGUGCCUGUUGAAGAAUGAGCCGGCGACUUAUAGUUAGUGGCAGGGUAAGGGAGUGAAUACUGAAGCCAUAGUGA
rnacentral:rRNA from 16 species